AUGUACUUCAGGCACAGCUUGGAUUUUCUUGCCCUUAUUUUAAAAGGUGCCCAGUGUGAGAUGUAGCUGGUGGAGUCUAGGAGAGGCUUAGUACAGCCUGGAAGGUCCCUGAACUCUCAUGAGCAGCCUCUGGAUUCACUUUUAGUAAUUAUGUCAUGGCCUGGGUCCAACAAGCUCCAGAGAAGGGGCUGGAGUGGGUUGCAUACAUUAGUAGUGGCAGUAGUACCUUCUAUUAUGCAGACACAGUUAAGGGCCCAUUCACCAUCUCCAGAGACAAUGCCAAGAACACCCUGUUCCAGCAAAUGAGCAGUCUAAGGUCUGAGGACAGAGACAAAAAGAUAAAAAUAUAU